UGAAGCCUGAACUCGAGUAGGCCCCAAGCAAGGAAGGAAGGAAGGAGGAAGCAGGCAGUAGACCCUCUGCCCAGACCAGACCAUCCAGAACAGCUAUUGCUAGCAGAGGAGACGGACCAUAUACCCGCUCCAGAACUGAGCUUCUGGAGGAUAAAAGAUGGAGGCUGAAGAACUGGGCCAAUUUGAGGUGAUGGUAGAUGAUGUUCUAAAAAGUCUUGUAAAACUAAAAAUUAACAAAUUGUCAGAGACAGAUGGCCUCCACCCAAGAGUUUUGAAGGAACUCAAAUUUGAAAUUGCUGAUCUCCUAGCAAAAAUAUACCUUAUACUUGGAUAUGAUGAACCAGGCUCUUCCACAUGAAGCACCUUGUGCUAUCCCAAGCCUGCAUGCCAGGUAUAGAGGUACUUUUUGGAUCAGAGGAGGAGUGCUAGACUGGGCCAGAGGGCUACUCCUUUAAAUCUCUCAGCACUCCAGCCAGGGAAGUGGAGCCUGGAAGGACACACAAUUUUAUUCAGGACCAUUAACAGAUAGAAUUUCUGAUCUGGCAAAGGUGGGGAGUCAGUGAGUUGUCUUGGUUGCUCCUGCAGAGAAGUGAUGCUGGUCUGCCAGAUGUCGGAGAGUUCUGCGGAAGCAUGUGGAUUUGAUGGAGUUCAGAGUGCAGAAUGGGUAUUACAGGUUCUUGAAAUGCAAGUUGGAACACUGCAGUCUAUUAUAGCAACAAGAUUACUAAAACGAUACUGAAACUGCCAUUUCAGUUUAUAUAUUGGUUGGUUUCAUAACCUGAUGCUGUGAGGUUUUGCUUUGGACCCUGUUGACUAUGCCUGUUGGCUAACUGUAGAAUUUGGCAAUGUGAUGUCUUUCAGCCGACAACAUACACCAUUUAUGGCAAUUUGAAUAGCUGAACAAGUAUAAUAAAUGCAUAUAAAUCAUGCACCUAAUCAUGCAUCUAACUAGGUGUUUGAAGAUAUGAAACUUGUCAACAUCAUCUCUAGGCAAAACUGUUUAUGCAUUUCUUUUCAAAAUCCAGAUGACAGAGAUAUUGCUAAUAUUGCUGUGACAAUCAGUAUUUCUCCCCUGACUAAUGUUUCUUGAAGCUUUUGACCAUAUGAAGAUGCAGGCUCAGUGGUAGAGCCCAUGUUAUGCACACCAAAGAUCUCCAGUUCAGUCCUUUGCUUCUUAGAACUUUGUUUCUCAGAACAGGACUAAAACUCAGAAUAGACAUACUGGGCUACGUGGACCAAUGGUCUGAUUCAAAAUAGGGCACAGUCUCUCUCAUCUUAUUGUUAGCAUUGCAAGCAAGAUAUUAGAGUAGGAAGUUGAAGCUAAGACAUUCAAAGAAAUACCAGUAGGACAGGAAACCCUAGUGGGCCUGUGGUUGUCAUAUGCAGAGGGGCAUGAUCAGUCCAGUUCUAUGUGGAUGGAUGGCAGUAACCACAUCCUAUGCAUGGUUUGCCACCAAACAUCAAGUUUAAAGCAGCUUGGAUCUUCACUGUGCCCGUGGUUUGUUAUAGGCAGUUAGCACUUCUAAAUAUCUCUCAUCAUAUGUUUUUUCUCAACAUUCAAAAUGCCUCAUGCAUCUUCACAGGAAGUAUCUGCAUUGCACAGGCAACAGUAUGAAUAAGCAUCAGCAGAUGUAAUUUCCAAAAAUGGCACAAUCUAACCUAAAUAUAGUUCUCUACAUGCUGCUGCUAUUAUUAGUUGCUAGAUAUGAAUAUUGGCAACCUACAUCAGUAUUCUAAACAGCAACAUUUAGUAUUGCUACAUAUGUUGCAGUCCUAUAUAUGUUGAUUAGAUUAGUUCAAAUCAUACAGUCUCAGAACUGUUGCUUCCUGGGUGCUUUCCAGAUUAAACCCUACAACUAGAUCUGCUAAGUGUGCUUCCGUACUUCCUGUAUUGUGAUACUGCAGUCCCUAUGCUGACAGCAAGGUGCUGUUCACAUUUCCGAUGCCUUAUUUUGGAUUUUAUCUUUGCAUUCUAGUGCUACAACAUUGCAAGUCCGUUGCAGAAAAAUAGCUGUAUUUUCCCAAUGUAGGAGUUUGAGAGUCUGGGGGUUGUUUUCAAAACGAUCCUGCCAAGCUGAAGCAUUUCACCCCUGCUGUAGUGUGUAAUCUGGAAAGCGCCCUGGUAUUAUCUCGGCCAGUGAUAUAUUCUCCAAGAUGUUGCCACUGAGCUCUGAGACCUGUUUAGGAAUUGAGAGUCACUCUUUCUCAAGUUGUUAUGUAACAAUUGGACAACCAUAUAACCACAGUUGGCUGGCUCCUUUAGACUUUGCCUCGGAAUGUCCUGCCAGCUGUUUGGGGAUGUUGAAACUAACCUCUUAAGGCGCUUACUAAUAGUCAGUUUAACAUAUUUGUAUUUUGAGUUCUCUCUCUCUUUAUGAAAGGCUUGAACAGCUGCCUAAACCUAGAAGCAGCAUGUUUGCCAGAGCGACUUUGUUACAGAUGUUACUCUGAAAAGUUCAUUAAUCUCCUGGCGAGUUUCCCAAAGUCAAUGAAAGCAAUCUAGGGAAAACCUUCAGAACUGCCUAUUUAGAGAUAAUUUCCAUGAUUACUUUUACAGGGACCCUUCACACCAUUAAAAACAGAAACUAUGUAAGGACAUUUUCUCCGUGAUACAUACAGAUGAACAUAGAAGGGUGCCUUAUACCAAAUCAGACCAUUAGCCUGUCUCGUUCAGUAUUGUCUACAACAGGGGAGGAGCCUCACUGGGCAGAGUGGGUGGUGCCCACCCCAAAAUUUGUCCAAGUCAGCAGUUGUUUGCCUCCCACUCUGCCUCCCAGAUUGUGCUGCCCUGUUCCCUGCUUGCAGCCUGCCUGCUGCAAUAUUUUCACAGAGUGGGUGUCGGUAGCACUAUACUGAAACACCACAUGUUUUAUUGGGCUUAUUUAAAUAUUCAUGAGGUAGUAGCCAAUUCAAAGGCUGGCCAGCCAAUCACAUUUCAUCAUUUUGAUUGACUGCUCUGGCAGCCAAUCAGAAUGGCCAGAGGGGAGAGGUCUUUGCUAUUGAGAGGCAAGGCAAACAGAGAGUGAAACACCAUUUUGGUUGAGCAGUGCUAGUAGCAACUGCUCUCUGCCCAAAGACGUGUGUGUGUGGGGGAACUUUAUUACUUUGAAUCUUUAUUUAUUACUAUAUCGAGAUUUGCAAUCUUUAAUAUUGGACUCCAUAGCGGUGGUGAGUAAGAGUUUGUCCUGGGUAGUGGUGGGUGGACUGCUCCUCUUGGCCCCUGAAUGUUGGUUUGUCUGCCGCUCAUAGAAAUGAUUCUUCAACUCCCACUCCCCCGUCAGCCAGUGGCCUGCAUCUCCAGCCAUGUGCACAGCCCAGCCUGCCAGGCCCAGCCUGCCCUGCUCUGGUCCUGUUCAAGCUGGUUUCAGAAAAGGUCAACAAACAAGAGACAUCAUUGCUGAAGCAUGCUGGAUAACUGGGAUAGACAAUAAUACCAGAAAGUCAAUAUGUGCUUUAUUGACUACAAAAAAGCUUUUGAUUCUGUUGACCAUGUCAAGUUGUGGAAUAUCUUUAGGAAAAUGGGUGUCCCAGAGCAUCUCAUUAUUCUCAUGAGAAACCUAUAGACAGGACAGGAAGCCACAGUUCAGAUGGAAAAUGGUGAAAUAGACUGGUUCCAGAUUGGCAAAGCAGUAAGACUAGACUGUAUACUUUCUCCUUCUUUAUUCAAUUUAUCUGCUGAGCAUAUACUGAGAGAAGGUGGAUUGGGAAAGAUGAGCAUGGUUUUAAAGUUGAAAGAAGAAACAUCAAUAACCUGUGCUACGCUGAUGACACCACUAUGAUAGCUAAGAAUGCGGAUGAUCUGCAAGCUCUAGUAUAUGCUGGCUUUGGGCCAAAAUAAACAAAUGCAUGAAAGCUCUAGUAAUGAAAGUCAAGGAGCACAGUGAAAAAAUGGGACUACAACUAAAUGUAAAGAAGACUAAAUUAAUGACAACUGGUACAGCAACCAACCUCAGAAUUGACAAUGAAGACAUUGAAGUUCUGGGUAGCUUCUGCCUUUUAGGAUUGACCGUCAACAGUAAAGGAUCCAGCAGUCAAGAAAUACACCGAAGACUAGCACUUGGUAGGGUUACAAUGAAGGCCUUGGAAAGGAUAUUUAGAUGCCGUGAUGUGAUGACCUACAAAGAUUAGAAUCAUCCGGACAAUGGUUUUCCCCAUGGCACUCUAUGGAUGUGAAAGCUGGACUUUGAAGAUGCAAGAUAAAAAAAAGCAUUGGAACUUUUGCACUUCGUUGCUGGAGAAGACUUUUGAGGAUACCAUGGACAGCUAGGAAAACAAACUAAUGGAUCAUAAAACAAAUCAAUCCAGAAUUUUCAUUCGGGGCACAAAUGACCAGGUUCAAACUAUCAUACUUUGGCCACAUUAUGCGAAGACCCAGCUCUCUUGAGAAGUCCAUAAUGCUGGGAAAAGUUGAAGGAAAUGGAAGAAGAGGAUGACCAUCAACAAGGUGGAUGGACUCCAUUAUGACAGCAAUGAAUGCACCACUGCGAGACCUUAAAGGCCAAGUUGAAGACAGAUCAUCCUGGAGAUAAUCUAUCUAUGUGGUCUCUAAGAAUCGACACCGAUUUGACAGCACUUAAUCAAUCAAUCAAUACAGGAUACAGACUCAGAAAAGAAAAUGACAGAUAGCCAUUGGUUUUCAACUACAGCACUUAAUCAAUCAAUCAACUAGAAUUGUUGGAAAGAGAUUGUACCCAAAUGGCACAAUAUCAGUAAGACUGAAUGAAUGACAUUUCAUAAAUUAUCCAUAGACUCCGAUAUAAUUAUAAAAGAAUCAGACAAGUGUGGAGCCAUAGUGAUACUUAACAGAUCAGAUUAUGAAAAAGAAGUGUAUCACCAAUUAUCUGACUUAACUACAUUAGGAGAGGAGAGCUGGUCUUGUGGUAGCAAGCAUGACUUGUCCCCAUAGCUAAGCAGGGUCUUCCCUGGUUGCAUAUGAAUGGGAGACUUGAUGUGUGAGCACUGCAAUAUAUUCCCUCAGGGGAUGAAGCCACUCUGGGAAGAGCAGAAGGUUUCAAGUUCCCUCCCUGGCUUCUCCAAGAUAGGGCUGAGAGAAAUUCCUGCCUGCAACCUUGGAGAAGCUGCUGUCAGUCUGUGAAGACAAUACUGAGUUAGAUAGACCAAUGGUCUGACUCAGUAUAUGGCAGUUUCCUAUGUUCCUAUGUUCCUACAUAUCAAUUAUGUGCCAAAAUUCCGUUAAUUUCCAUACAGCCUAAAAUCAGGGUAAUUCUAGAGAAAGAUCUAGGGAUGGGAAAUAUCACAAUACGUGAAUAUGAAUUUUUGUAUAAGCCAAGAACACUGGUGUUGUAUAUUUUAACUAAGAUACACAAAACUGGGUUUCUACCACCAGGGCAUCCUAUAAUAUCCACCAAUAAUUCUGUUUUGGAACCAUUCUCCCAAUAUGUGGACGAUUUCUUAAAACCUUUUUAUCAAUAAUGAGAUCAUAUAUAUGAGAUUUGAUUGAUUUUUAUCAAUAAAUUAUCUACAAUUAUG